UUUUCUAACCCAAUGGAUAGUCUGGUCCGGAUAGGUUUCGUUCAGCUUUUUAUAUGAGCUCUUGGGACAUUAUAAAGAAUGAUGUGAUGGAGGCGACGACGAGUUUUUUUAUGGGAAAGCCUUACUAAGGUUUCACUCAUCGUCUUACAUUAUGCUCAUCCCUAAAGUGGAAAAUCCAGAUGGUUUUGAUCAGUUUCAACCAAUCAGCCUAUGCUCCGUGCUGUAUAAAAUAUUUGCAAAAAUUUUGGUGAAUAGGAUGACUGGGUUGCUGCCAAGGUGCAUUUUUCCUGUACAAGGGCCUUUUUACUAGGACGGAGCAUAUUUGAAAACCUCACCUUAACUCAAAAGAUGGUUCAGGCUUUUAAUUGCAAGACACGUGGAGGUAAUGCGGUUAUUAGGGUAGAUACGGCAAAGGCAUAUGACAAAGUAGAUUGGAGGUUUUUGCUUCAUGUUUUGCAUUCCUUUCCUAUUGAAUUCUGUUCUUCAAUUUCGAAGUGCAUAUCCACACCUUAGUUCUAUGUUAUGAUGAAUUAGACGACUCAAGGCUUUUUCAAGUCCUCCCAAGGUCUACGGCACGGUGAUCCCAUCUUAUCGCAUCUUUUUAUAAUUAUGGAAGAGGUGUUGACUAGAUUGUCAAAUAAGAAAUUUGAGGAAGGUAAUAUUGGUGCUUUUACACACCUAUGAGAGGCUCCUUUGUGUCUGACCUAUUGUAUGCAGAUGAUUUAGUAAUAUUUACUAAUGGGAGCAGUCAGUUUAUGAAGGAACUCAUAGGGAUUUCUCUCUCUCUAUGAAAGAUAGUCAGGACAACAUAUUAGCAAAGAAGAGUUGGUGUGCGCAGCUGCUCAAAAGACUAGUAUUCUUCGGAUGAAUUCUUUCAGUGAAGGUUUGUUUCCUAUUAACAAUUUGGGAGUUCUGAUGGUGAAUCUAGUGAUAGGGAGGCUAACGUCUCGCCAUUUACAAAGCAUGAUGGAGAAAAUUAGUAGUAAAAUUGCUGAUUAAAAACUAGAGUUAAAAUCGCAAAGAGGUUGAUUUUACCGAGGCAUGUGAUAACUAAUAUGGCAACUCACCUAUUAUCUGUCCUCAAUGUGCUGUUAUCAGUGUUUAAAUCUUUGAACUCUAUGUUGUCCUCCUUUUUGGGGGUGAGGUGAAUGAGAAGGCCAUGAAAAAGUGGAAGGCAAUGAUAAAAAUAUGUAAACCACUUAAGGAAUAAGGUUUUGGGAUUUGAAAAUUUGAAGACGUACAACGAUCUCUUUAUAUGAAAUUUGCUUGGAAGGUGCUCACGGAUGACUCUUUAUGGGGGAGUUUUUUUAGAGCAAAAUAUUCCAAAAGUGGUAUAGUGGAUGUUUCUUUUUGGGGUCGUAAGUGUUCUCGUUUUUGGAAGUCGGUAGUGGAGUGUUUUUCUGAAGUAGUUGCUAAUAGCAAGUGGAGAAUUAAACAAUGAAAACUAUCAUUUUGGUAUGCUCACUAGUUGCCGAAUGGUCCUUUGUGUCAUCAAGUUUAUCACGUGGAACAAUAUAUGUAGAAAAUAAAUUAUCAUUGUUUGGAGUUGAGAUGGGAUGUAGAGAAGAUUCAAGUGAUAGUGGGUGCUGAGUUAGCAUGAGAGGUCAUGCAGAAUUGUAUUUGGUGUAAGCCUAGCCAAUAUGUGUUGAUAUGGAAGCCUCAGAAAUAGGUUAUUUUUCAUCAUAUAGCACUUGGGAUGUGCUUAGAAUCCGAGCACUAUAGGUGCCUUUGGUGAACUGAGUAUAGCAUCAAUUUCUCACUACACAUGUUGCAGUGGCAAUGUGGAAAGCUCUGAAUCGGAGUCUUAGUGUUGAUGCAAGGAUCCAAGAGGUAGAAAUUCCAGUUGUGUCUAGAUGUAACUAUUGUUUAGUUAGCCAUGAUGAGAAUCUCGAUCACGUUUUGAGUACAAGAGAUUUUGCAAGUUGCGUUUGGAUAUCAAGUGGAGGGAACGGCAAAGCUGAUAGGAGAGGAUACAUUUUAUGGUAGGCUUGUGCUUGACAUUCAACUCAAUUGGGAUGCCUUUUGGGGAUGAUUCCAUGCCUAGUAACGUGGUGUUUGUGGAGAAGGAGAUGCAAGGCUGGCAUGGAAGGGAAGUCGGUGGAAGAUCUUUUCCUUUCCAUCAAAUUUUGGCUACAGCAUAUUUCUUCAUUCAUUCAAAAGUUACUAUUGCAGGUGAGAUGUUCCUCAACAGCGUCCAAACGAUAUGUCAGCGGUCCAACUAAUCCAAUUAUUUUGAAUAAUGCUAUUUAUAGUCACUCACUAUUACAGUCGUUCUACAUGACAUAUAUGCAGCAGUUAGUGAUUUAAUGCAAGAGACAAUAAAAACUACCACAUUAAUGCAUCAAAUCACAAACUAUCAUGUCGUGUAGGGCGACUAUCGCAGUGAACGACUAUGAAUAGAAUUACUCAAUUAUUUUUAUUUGUUACUUUUAUUCCUACAAUAAAUUUUCUUUUUGUAAUGAAAAAAAUCAUAAAAAUGAUCUACUGUAUGUUGAAGGCUAUUGUAUUUAUUGAUUCCUUUGUCAUCAUGUAUUGAAUAUCUUGCCAAUAAAAGGCAUAAUUUUGAAAUAACGACAAAUAAAAUUCUAUUUGAAGUUAGUAUCUA